rnacentral:rRNA from 1 species
AACGAACGCUGGCGGCAUGCCUAACACAUGCAAGUCGAACGAGACCUUCGGGUCUAGUGGCGCACGGGUGCGUAACGCGUGGGAACCUUCCCUUAGGUUCGGAAUAACUCCCCGAAAGGGGUGCUAAUACCGGAUAAUGUCUUCGGACCAAAGAUUUAUCGCCUUUGGAUGGGCCCGCUUUGGAUUAGCUAGUUGGUAGGGUAAAAGCCUACCAAGGCGACGAUCCAUAGCUGGUCUGAGAGGAUGAUCAGCCACACUGGGACUGAGACACGGCCCAGACUCCUACGGGAGGCAGCAGUGGGGAAUAUUGGACAAUGGGCGAAAGCAUGAUCCAGCAAUGCCGCGUGAGUGAUGAAGGCCUUAGGGUUGUAAAGCUCUUUUAACCGGGAUGAUAAUGACAGUACCGGGAGAAUAAGCUCCGGCUAACUACGUG